CGAACACUGACUUGGACAGAAGGCUGGACUUAAAUCAUCAAUAAUGAAGUUUACCCUUUUCCUGCUCGCGGUACUGACUGUGACGACUCUGGUAACCGCCAGCCCUUUGUUUACAAGUGAUCCUGUAGAAGAUGGUGAAGGUCUCAUCUAUUGCCAGAAAGCAUACAAAAACGUUUUCUUAUUACUAUGUCCGGAAAUGGCACAAGACAUAGAUAUAGACUACAAGAUGUACGAGUUUGCCAAAAUCUGCUGUUCCCGAAUAUGUAACAUUGAUGACGUGUUGCGCCACUGCGCAGUAUCAGCUAAAUUGCAAAAAAAAUCAUAAAAGUAAAAGCGUUGUAUAUUCUUCUGUACAGUCUACCACUCUCAAUCAAAAAUCGUAGUUGCUUUAUA